rnacentral:rRNA from 1 species
CCUACGGGGGGCUGCAGCUAAGAAUAUUCCGCAAUGGACGAAAGUCUGACGGAGCGACGCCGCGUGGAUGACGAAGGCCGAAAGGUUGUAAAGUCCUUUUGUCGAUGAAGAAUAAGUGUGGGAGGGAAUGCCCGCAUGAUGACGUUAGUCGGCGAAUAAGCCCCGGCUAAUUACGUGCCAGCAGCCGCGGUAACACGUAAGGGGCAAGCGUUGUUCGGAAUUAUUGGGCGUAAAGGGUACGUAGGCGGUUUGGUAAGCCCGGCGUGAAAUCCUGC